rnacentral:rRNA from 1 species
UACGUAGGGUGCAAGCGUUAAUCGGAAUUACUGGGCGUAAAGCGUGCGCAGGCGGUGAUGUAAGACAGGUGUGAAAUCCCCGGGCUUAACCUGGGAACUGCAUUUGUGACUGCAUCGCUGGAGUGCGGCAGAGGGGGAUGGAAUUCCGCGUGUAGCAGUGAAAUGCGUAGAUAUGCGGAGGAACACCGAUGGCGAAGGCAAUCCCCUGGGCCUGCACUGACGCUCAUGCACGAAAGCGUGG